rnacentral:ncRNA from 1 species
AGUUGUAAGCUUACUGUUCUGCGGUAAGUAGAACAAGGUUAUACAACAACACCUAAUUAAGCAUAAAUUAGCUUAUUUAUAAGAAAGGAAAGCUUUAUUUAAACUAUAAAAAAAAUAGUUUGAUUGCCUCAGGCAAAUUUAAAGCACCGCUAUAAGAAUCGAUUUAUUUUGUUUAAUGGUAGUUGGUUGGGUAAAAGCCUACCAAGCCUACGAUCAAUAGCCAGGUUUGAUAGAACAGAUGGCCACAUUGGGAAUGAAAAGCCCCAAGUAGAGUAAUCUACCUGCAGUCAAGAAUAUUAGUCAAUGCUCGCAAGAGUGAACUAGCU